rnacentral:rRNA from 1 species
CCUACGGGAGGCAGCAGUAGGGAAUAUUGCUCAAUGGGGGAAACCCUGACGCAGCAACGCCGCGUGGAGGAUGAAGGUUUUGGGAUUGUAAAAUCCUUUUGUUAGAGAAGAUAAUGACGGUAUCUAACGAAUAAGCACCGGCUAACUCCGUGCCAGCAGCCGCGGUAAUACGGAGGGUGCAAGCGUUACUCGGAAUCACUGGGCGUAAAGAGUGCGUAGGCGGGAUAGCAAGUCUGAUGGUAAAUCCUAAGGCUUAACCAUAGAACUGCAUUUGAAACUGUCAUUCUAGAGUAUGGGAGAGGUAGGUGGAAUUCUUGGUGUAGCGGUAAAAUGCGUAGAUAUCAAGAGGAAUACUGAUGGCGAAGGCGACCUGCUAGAACAUAACUGACGCUGAUGCGCGAAAGCGUGGGGAGCAAACAGGAUUAGAUACCCCUGUAGUC